rnacentral:rRNA from 1 species
AUUGAACGCUGGCGGCAGGCCUAACACAUGCAAGUCGAACGAGUGGCGGACGGGUGAGUAAUGUCUGGGAAACUGCCCGAUGGAGGGGGGUAACUACUGGAAACGGUAGCUAAUACCGCAUACCAUCGGAUGUGCCCAGAUGGGAUUAGCUAGUAGGUGGGGUAACGGCUACCCUAGGCGACGAUCCCUAGCUGGUCUGUGAGGAUGACCGGCCACACUGGACCUGAGACACGGUCCGUACUCCUACGGGAGGCAGCAGUGGGGAAUAUUGCACAAUGGGCGCAGGCCUGAUGCGGCCAUGCGGCGUGUAUGAAGAAGGCCUUCGGGUUGUAAAGUACUUUCAGCGAGGAGGCGUUACUCGCCGAAGAAGCACCGGCUAACUCCGUGCCAGCAGCCGCGGUAAUUC